ACCCAACUGACGAGUCCCAAAUAAGAUGAAACGCGCGUCCUCCAU
rnacentral:hammerhead_ribozyme from 1 species